rnacentral:lncRNA from 1 species
CUUUAACAUUAAGAUGAUUUCCAGCAUGAACAAGUAGACACAGUAAUGGAUAAUGUCAAUGAAAAAAGUAGCAUAGUUGUGAAACAAAUGAUGACAAGUGCCUGCAUUAGCUUUGUCAAAAUGCUGAUGCCAAAUACUAGGCUGUUACAAUGUCUAUGACGUGAACUGUUUGAUUUUGGCAGUUAAAUCCUGAGAGUACAGUGAAAGCAUCACAAAUCUGUGAUUUAUACUGCCAGAAGACUCUUUUUAAAGCAGGCUGUAACUGAGCAGUCAGACUUGUCAGGAAAUGUGACCACUUCACCUACCACUGGAAUUUUUAUUUUAUUUUUAUUUAUUUAUUUAUUUAUUUAUUUAUUUUUUCUGUUUAACCUGACUGGUCUUCAACCAUGCAAAUAUUCAAAUGCAAGUAAAGGACGUUGCUACAAUGCUUGACCAAAGAACUAAAUUAGAUUUAUUCAAUUUCUUUCACUUAAUACUAGCUCUGAGCAGCAUGGCAAUUAUUACACACCAGUUGUUUGUUCGAAUGCAAGUGCUACAUUCCUCAUUUUGUUGUCUAUUGGAGUAGCUUGCUUACUUUAGCGAAGGAACUGAACCUAUCACUAUUUUUCAAGAACAUUUUUGACAUGACUACUUUUCCUCAUAUGUUACAGGUACUGAAAGUGGUAAAUCCUGGUACUUUAUGAUUCUUGCUGGUAGUGAACAUAGUUUAUAAUCUUGUGUUUUGCUUUGUAACCUGAUAACAUGUUUAUUGCAGUGGUCUGGAACUUCCACAAAGACCAGAGCAUAACAUAUGAGAGGUGGCACCUCUGGAGAAAGGGAUAUGAGUCAGUACACAGAAUAAGAUCUUUUCUGGGGGAAAAAGACACCAAUACAGUUUGGGAAAGAAUAAAGAAAGAGAAGAAUUAUCUCACCCUCAGUGUCUUAGGCAGCAGAUCUUCAAGCCAAUUUCCCACCUGUGGCAGGAUGCAACUUUUUAACUGGAUGUUCCCUGCUCACUCUCACCAGCUCCUUGUGGAGGUGCAGAAUGCAAGCAGUAUACCUAGGAGGGUUUGCUGCAAGCCUGAGGCUCUUCAGGAAGCCUAGCUAUAGUGAACUCGUCCUCCUGGUUCUGGAAACUUUACUGGUGUAUAUGUUGUUUACCUCUGCAGUUUCAGCAAGAGUCUGUAAAAGCCAUUUCUCUUGUGCUUUGCCACCAAGAGGGCAUUUCUGCAACAUUACCUCUGGAUCAUCUGUCAAAGUCACUGCUGUGCCACGUCCUUAUCAUGACAAGUCAAUACCACAUAGCAGCUAGCUUCCCCUUACCAUGGGGUCAGUUUGAUUUUGUUGCUUGGACAGAGCUCACUACUGGUAUUCCUGUAUCCCCUGCUGUACAAUGUCAGUCUAAGUAUUUCCGAGGAUACUAAACACAUUUUCCAACUAGCUGAUCCUCUAUUUGUUGAGAAACAUUGAUAACAACUGUUUCCUCUACAGAGUUUGUCCCUCUGAAUUUUUGAACAAUUUAAUGGAGCAUCUCCUUAUUUCCUCCUUUUCCCCAGAAGAUGCCAAAGAACUUUUCUUCCUAUGUCUGUGCUUUCUUCCAGUACCCAGAAAUAGUUGGUAACAAGAUCUCUGCAAUUUCUUUUGUUUAGAAGCACUGAUUUCUUUGUGUUUCAUGAUGGGGAAAUGGCAUACCCUUUUGACAGCCUGCCUGUGGGUGAACAUUCAGAGCUGAGAGACAUCCUUUUCUUUAGGCCUGAUGAAAUUUAAACAUUUUGGUGAUUUUCUUCCAGUCUGGGAAGAUCUGAAUGAUUUUGAAUUGCUCUGAUAUUUGUUUGAAAUGUAUCACUGAAUCACAAAACUGAAUGAUUCAAAUAACAUUGUACGGAAUGGUUCAUAACAAUGAACGUUAACAGCUAGCACAGGCUACUGAUUCUUACUGUCCCACUUUUUGUUUAAUUAAGUCUUUUUACAUUUCUUGAAGCUGAAAUUUCACAAAUAAAUAAAUGCAAAAUGAUGUAAAGCA